GCCUUCGUGGUGUAGUGGUCAGCACGCUCGGCGCGUAACCGAGAGGUCCGUGGUUCGAGUCCCGGUGAAGGCG
rnacentral:tRNA from 1 species